GAUGAACGCUGGCGGCGUGCCUAAUACAUGCAAGUAGAACGCUGAAGGAAGGAGCUUGCUCUUUCCGGAUGAGUUGCGAACGGGUGAGUAACGCGUAGGUAACCUGCCUGUUAGCGGGGGAUAACUAUUGGAAACGAUAGCUAAUACCGCAUAACAGUAGAUGUUGCAUGAUAUCUACUUAAAAGGUGCAAUUGCACCACUACCAGAUGGACCUGCGUUGUAUUAGCUAGUUGGUGAGGUAACGGCCCACCAAGGCGACGAUACAUAGCCGACCUGAGAGGGGGAUCGGCCAAAAUGGGAAUGGGACACGGCCCAGACUCCUACGGGAGGCAGCAGUAGGGAAUCUUCGGCAAUGGACGGAAGUCUGACCGAGCAACGCCGCGUGAGUGAAGAAGGGUUUCGGAUCGGAAAGCUCUGUUGUAAGAGAAGAACGAGUGGGAGAGUGGAAAGUGCACACUGUGACGGUAUCUUACCAGAAAGGGACGGCUAACUACGUG
rnacentral:rRNA from 1 species